CAUGCAAGUCGAACGAGGAUAUAUCCUUCGGGAUAUAAGCCGAGUGGCGCAAGGGUGAGUAAUGCAUAGAUUACCUGCCUCUAGGAUAAGGACAACUUUGUGAAAACGAAGCUAAUACUUAAUAACACAAGAGAAAAUAAUUUUCUUUUGUCAAUGGGAGGGUAGCAAUACCUUUUGCCUAGAGAGGGGUUUAUGUCCUAUCAGCUUGUUGGUGGGGUAAUGGCCUACCAAGGCGAAGACGGGUAGCCGGUCUUAGAGGAUGGUCGGCCACACUGGGACUGAGACACUGCCCAGACUUCUACGGAAGGCUGCAGUCGAGAAUCUUUCGCAAUGCCCGAAAGGGUGACGAAGCGACGCCGCGUGAGUGAGGAAGGCCUUCGGGUUGUAAAGCUCUGUCAGGAGUUAAGAAAUGUAAGUGUGCUAAUACCGCAUUUACUUGACGAAGGCUCCAAAGGAAGCCACGGCUAACUCUGUGCCAGCAGCCGCGGUAAUACAGAGGUGGCAAGCGUUGUUCGGAAUUAUUGGGCGUAAAGAGCACGUAGGUGGGUUUGUAAGUCAGAUGUGAAAGCCUUCUGUUCAACGGAAGAAUUGCAUCUGAAACUGCAAGUCUUGAGUGUAGGAGGGGAGAAUGGAACUUCUGGUGGAGCGGUGAAAUGCGUAGAUAUCAGAAGGAACGCCGGCGGCGAAAGCGAUUCUCUGGCCUAUUACUGACACUCAGUGUGCGAAAGCUAGGGGAGCAAACGGGAUUAGAUACCCCGGUAGUCCUAGCCGUAAACGAUGGGCACUAAGUAGAGGGAAUUACCGAUGUUCUCUCUGCCGUAGCUAACGCAUUAAGUGCCCCGCCUGGGGAGUACGGCCGCAAGGCUAAAACUCAAAAGAAUUGACGGGGGCUCGCACAAGCGGUGGAGCAUGUGGCUUAAUUCGAUGCAACGCGAAAAACCUUACCGGGGCUUGACAUGGUAGAAGUAGGAACCCGAAAGGGUAACGAACGGUAUCCAGUCCGUAGCUAUCACAGGUGUUGCAUGGCUGUCGUCAGCUCGUGUCGUGAGACGUUGGGUUAAGUCCCCUAACGAGCGAAACCCUUGUUUUUAGUUACCAGCGGGUUAUGCCGGGUACUCUAGAAAGACUGCCGUCGUCAAGACGGAGGAAGGUGGGGAUGACGUCAAGUCAUCAUGGCCCUUAUGCCCCGGGCUGCACACGUGCUACAAUGGUCGGUACAAACGGAAGCGAAGCCGAGAGGUGGAGCGAAUCCUAAAAAGCCGAUCUCAGUUCGGAUUGGAGGCUGAAAUUCGCCUCCAUGAAGUUGGAAUCGCUAGUAAUCGCGGAUCAGCAUUGCCGCGGUGAAUAUGUUCCCGAGCCUUGUACACACCGCCCGUCAAGCCACCCAAGCAGGAUGCACCCGAAAACAUUAUAUCUAACCGGGUUUACCUGGAGGAAAGUGUUGAAGGAGUGUUUUGUGAGGAGGACUAAGUCGUAACAAGGUAGUCGUAGGAGAACCUGCGGCUGGAUCACCUCCUUUCU
rnacentral:rRNA from 1 species